AAGACCUUGCGCUUUUGGAGCGGCCGAUGCCUGAUUAGCUUGUUGGUAAGGUAAAAGCUUACCAAGGCUUCGAUCAGUAGCUGGUCUGAGAGGACGGCCAGCCACACUGGAACUGAGACACGGUCCAGACUCCUACGGGAGGCAGCAGUGGGGAAUUUUGGACAAUGGGGGAAACCCUGAUCCAGCCAUGCCGCGUGAGUGAAGAAGGCCUUCGGGUUGUAAAGCUCUUUCAGCCGGAACGAAACGGUUACGGUUAAUACCCGUGACUACUGACGGUACCGGAAGAAGAAGCACCGGCUAACUACGUGCCAGCAGCCGCGGUAAUACGUAGGGUGCGAGCGUUAAUCGGAAUUACUGGGCGUAAAGCGUGCGCAGGUGGUUUUGUAAGUCAGAUGUGAAAGCCCCGGGCUCAACCUGGGAACU
rnacentral:rRNA from 1 species